rnacentral:rRNA from 1 species
UACGUAGGGUGCGAGCGUUAAUCGGAAUUACUGGGCGUAAAGCGUGCGCAGGCGGUUUUGUAAGCCAGAUGCGAAAUCCCCGGGCUCAACCUGGGAAUGGCAUUUGGGACUGCAAGGCUGGAGUGCGGCAGAGGAGACUGGAAUUCCUGGUGUAGCAGUGAAAUGCGUAGAUAUCAGGAGGAAUACCGAUGGCGAAGGCAGGUCUCUGGGCUGACACUGACGCUCAUGCACGAAAGCGCGGGGAGCAAACAGG